GGGAGUCGAGCCGAAUGGCAACCUUCUAUGUGCUACCGCACUUAUCUGGUGACGAACCAUUUUAGGCAAAUUAAAAUCCUGGCCAAAAUGAAAAUUGCCCAAUAAAAAUACCACAAAAUUCCAGAGUAGGAUUAUAGCAAGCUACGGUCACACAUGAUUUGCAGACUUCCGUUCUCUUUUUGUGAAGGCGUGAUCGAGUGCAGUUCAAUAUUGUGCAAAAUCCAUAUUUAAAAAUCCACGAGCAUCGUGUGGUUCGGAUUAUAGUUUUUCAAGGCAAAUACUGCCGAGUGAUAGUUUACCUUUAACUGCGUCGCUGCCGGUCCCACGUUUGGAGAUAGGAGUUUUAGUGGCUGCGUCGCCAAGGCGAUAGAUUUACAACUGCUGGCAUCAGGAGCACCCACCGUGUGCAGUGGAAGGCUGGGCUUGACCUCUUCUGCUGCCGACAGAUCGCAGGUCAACCCACCCCAGAGUUGGCGUUCUUUUUUUUCUUCAUCGCCGCACGCAGGAAGCAGAUCGCCGUGCAUCCAUUUAAUGCACAAAUCAGCUUGGUGUCUUCUUCAACCCUGCGCAUUCCAAUAAUAUUUGGGCACAACACGAGCCCCAGGCUGGCCUUGUCGCUGCGUAUGCUGCGAACCCGAAGCAGCCGCAACACGAAUGAUCGUGUUCAGUAUUAAGUAUAUUUAGAAUAGUUUUUAUAUUUGAGUUAAUUUUACAUAAGAAUAUUUACUUAUAAAUUUCUAUAAUUCUAAUUUAGCUUAACUUGUGGGAGAUCUGACAAGUUUAUAUAUGUGAUUCUCCCGAUUUAUAGUAAUACCUACAGCAAAUCAUCAAACGUCAUCAGGCCUGCUGACAUCGAUGGAAAGUGCGUGAGUAGAAAACAAAAAUAAUAAGACCACACAAACAUAUAUAUAAAAAAGGUCAGAUAUUCCUAAAUAGUACUCUUAAAAUAUCCUGCCUUAAUUAAUCAUGAUUUAAAGAAGUUUAUAGUUUAAAUACUCAUUAAUCAUAAAUAAUUCUAAUGUAAAAUAAGUCGAAGAAACAAAAGAAUAAUGUAAGCUUAUAUACCAGUAUUUGAACUUCUACCUUAAUUACUUUUUCUUUCAUUUUGUCGUUGAUAAUCAAAAUUAAUCAAUAAGAGAUUUUCUUAACAUAAAUAACGUAAUUUUUAGUUUAAGGAUUAGGUUUAGGAAAAUGGAUCUGAAUCUUAUAUUUAUCUUUAAUUAUAUGGGGACCAAAAUGAA